AGAGCGUAGGGAGAAUGCCUAGGUACCAAGAGCCGACGAAGGACGUGAUAAGCUGCGAAAAGCUACGGGGAGGAGCAAAUAUCCAUCAAUCCGUAGAUAUCCGAAUGAGGGAACUCAUAUGGCGAAAAGAAGCCAUAUAUCUAUGUGUGAGUAAAGUAGCACAUAAGAAGGGAACGUGGGGAACUGAAACAUCUAAGUACCCAUAGGAAGAGAAAAUAAAUAAUGAUUUCUGGAGUAGUGGCGAGCGAAACAGAAAGAGCCCAAACCAUAAGUAGAAAUACAUAUGGGGUACGGACUACCAAAAACUACUAAUAAGUCUAAUAGAAUCAUCUGGGAAGGUGAACCAAAGACGGUGAAAGUCCAGUAUAUGAAAGAUAAGUUAGAGGAGGUAGAAUCCAGAGUAGUGCGAGACACAGGAAAUCUCGUAUGAAAGAGCGGGGACCAUCCCGUAAGGCUAAAUACUACUUGGUAACCGAUAGUGAACGAGUACCGUGAGGGAAAGGUGAAAAGGACCCCGGGAGGGGAGUGAAAAAGAACCUGAAACCCUAUGUUUACAAGCAGAUAGAGCGAUUUAAGGCGCGAUAUCGUACUUUUUGUAGAACGGUCCAGCGAGUUAUUGUAUAUGGCGAGGUUAAGUUCUGAAUAAGGAAUGGAGCCGAAGAGAAAUCGAGUCUGAAUAGGGCGAUAUAAGUCAUAUAUAAUAGACCCGAAACCGGGUGACCUAUCCAUGGUCAGGAUGAAGCUGAAGUAAAAUUCAGUGGAGGUCCGAACUGAUUGUCGUUAAAAAGGCACCGGAUGAACUGUGGAUAGCGGAGAAAUUCCAAUCGAACUCGGAGAUAGCUGGUUCUCCUCGAAAUAGCUUUAGGGCUAGCCUUGAGGUAAAAGAAUUAUGGGGGUAGAGCACUGAAUGAGGUAGGGGCCAAACCAGGUUACUGAACUCUAUCAAACUGCGAAUACCAUAAUUAGAAUACUCAGGAGUCAGACUGCGGGAGCUAAGUUCCGUGGUCAAAAGGGAAAGAGCCCAGACCGACAAUUAAGGUCCCAAAGAUAUAGUUAAGUGGAAAACGAUGUGAAUUUGCAUAAACAACCAGGAUGUUGGCUCAGAAGCAGCCACUCAUUCAAAGAGUGCGUAACAGCUCACUGGUCGAGUGAAUUUGCGCGGAAAAUUACCGGGGCUAAACUAUACACCGAAAUUUCGGAUUUACGUAUGAAAAUAUGUAAGUGGUAGAGGAGCAUUCUGUAGUAGGACGAAGUCAAAGCGAAAGCAUUGGUGGACGAGGCAGAAGAGAGAAUGCUGGAAUAAGUAGCGAGAGCAAGGUGAGAAUCCUUGCCGUCGAAAGUCUAAGGUUUCCUGGGGAAGGUUCGUCCGCCCAGGGUAAGUCGGGGCCUAAGGAGAGGCCGAAAGGCGUAUCUGAUGGAUAGCAGGUGGAGAUUCCUGCACUAUAGCUAGUUUUAAAAGAUGCAAGGGACGCAGUAGAGGAAGAUAACCAAGGAAGAGGAAAGACUUGGUCCGCAAGGGAUAGUGAAAAUUAAUAGUAACGAAAUAUCAAGAAUCACACUGACGAGAAAAGCUUGUAGAUAUUAACUAGAAAUACCCGUACCGCAAACCGACACAGGUAGAUGAGGAGAGGAUCCUAAGACGAGCGGGAGAAGCAUUGUUAAGGAACUCGGCAAAAUAACCCCGUAACUUCGGGAGAAGGGGAACCUAAGUAAAAUUAGGUCGCAGAGAAAAGGCCCAAGCAACUGUUUAACAAAAACACAGGUUUCUGCAAAAUCGAAAGAUGAAGUAUAGGAGCUGACGCCUGCCCAGUGCUGGAAGGUUAAGGGAAAGAGUUAGACGUAAGUCGAAGCUUAGAACUAAAGCCCCAGUGAACGGCGGCCGUAACUAUAACGGUCCUAAGGUAGCGAAAUUCCUUGUCAGGUAAGUUCUGACCCGCACGAAAGGCGUAAUGAUUUGGGCACUGUCUCGACAAUGUACCCGGCGAAAUUGUAGUACUAGUGAAGAUGCUAGUUACCUGCGACAAGACAGAAAGACCCCAUGGAGCUUUACUGCAGUUUGAUACUGGGUUUCGAUAAGUUAUGUACAGGAUAGGUGGGAGACAAAGAAAGAAAGGCGUCAGCUUUUCCGGAGUCACCGUUGGGAUACCACCCUUAAUUUGUUGGAAUUCUAACUAGUGGUCAUGAUCUGGCCAGAGGACAAUGUCAGACGGGCAGUUUGACUGGGGCGGUCGCCUCCAAAAGAGUAACGGAGGCGCCCAAAGGUUCCCUCAGUGCGGACAGAAAUCGCACGAAAGAGUGUAAAGGCAGAAGGGAGCUUAACUGGAAGAUAGACAUAUCGAGCAGAUACGAAAGUAGGGCUUAGUGAUCCGGUGGAUAUUGAAUGGAAAAGCCAUCGCUCAACGGACAAAAGUUACCCUGGGGAUAACAGGCUUAUCUCCCCCAAGAGUUCACAUCGACGGGGAGGUUUGGCACCUCGAUGUCGGCUCAUCGCAUCCUGGAGCGGAAGUACGUUCCAAGGGUUGGGCUGUUCGCCCAUUAAAGCGGUACGCGAGCUGGGUUCAGAACGUCGUGAGACAGUUCGGUCCUUAUCUGUCGCAGGCGGAAGAUAUUUGAAGGGAGCUGUCCUUAGUACGAGAGGACCAGGAUGGACAUACCGAUGGUUUAUCAGUUGUCACACCAGUGGCACGGCUGAGUAGCCAAGUAUGGAAGGGAUAAACGCUGAAAGCAUCUAAGUGUGAAGCCCACCCUAAGAUAAGAUAUCUCAUACCGAAAGGUAGUAAGAUUCCAUAAAGACUAUGUGGUUGAUAGGUUGGAGGUGUAAGUAUAGCAAUAUAUUGAGCUGACCAAUACUAAUAAAUCGAGGGCUUAACCA
rnacentral:rRNA from 1 species